rnacentral:RNase_P_RNA from 1 species
AAAGCAAAUCAACCUUGUUGCUUUUACUCAUUAGUAAAAGAGGAAAGUCCGGACACCGUAGGAUAUUAUAGCGGGUAACGCCCGUCCACUGUAAAGUGAGGACAAGUGCAACAGAAAGAAUGUACAGUUAGGCUGUAGUGAAAUCAGGUAAACUCUAUAAGGUGCAAUGCUAUGUAUAUCAGCUUUUAAGGGUGAUCCGCCCGUUGUUGAGGGGUAGGCAGUUCGAAAUAAAGAGUAAUCUUUAUUCUAGAUAAAUAACAAGGCUUUUUUAGAAAUAAAAAAUGACAGAAUCCGGCUUAUUGAUUUGCUUUUUAU